rnacentral:lncRNA from 10 species
GUAAGAGAUGAUUUUUAUCAGGUGAAGCCUUUUGUCAUCUUGAUAGGCGACCACUGUAACUGUGACUGAAGCUCUGCUGGUUCCUAUAGUUGCUUAACAUGCUUUCCACAAUUCUUUAAGGCCCUUUGCUGUGAUCUAGUGCAUGCACUCUGGAAAAUGUUGGUGGAAUCAGCACCUUGGGGAGGCAGAUGCUGUUUGCAUUCCUGGCCUGGCUGCCUCCUCCAGCAAGCAGUCAUUCUGUUAUCAGUUCUGUAGCCACAUCUUCAUCUCUGACUCAAAUUCCUCUGCUCCAUCUUUUACGUAUAAGGACCUCUGUGAUGACAUCGGACCUACCAGGAUAAUGGAGGAUAAUCUCUCCAUCUCAAAAUUCUAAUGUA